AAUUGUCUCUAGACAAUUGAGGUGUGUCCCAUACCCUUCAAUUAAACUCUUUUUCAAAUGGCAACUCUUGCACAUCUUAUGCACAUCUCUGAUCCACCACAUUGUAUCCCCUCCAUCCCCCAAUUUUUGAUCAAAUGGAUGAUCAUUUGAUACUUUCAAAUCACUCCCUAUUGACCUCUUAUUUGAAUAGCAACUUAUGUUUCAUCAUAUCCAUCUCAAUCCUCUAUUCUUUUCUAUUAUCACAUUGACCUCAUGAAUUGAUGAUUUAUGUCACAAUAUUCAUCCUUGUGAGUAUUGGAAUACUUAACUCACCAUCCCAUCUACCUUGACAGGCUCAUGCAUUGUUGCAUGUGAUCAAUCCCAAUCCUUCCAAAAUUGAAUUCAAAUAAAAACUUCUAAUCAUCAAAUAUACCUUUGGGUCUAUUUUUCAUCUUUUGUUAGUCCCAACCAUAGUGGUAACAAUUAUCCUUGGAGUACAUGUCACCCUUCCCAUUAUUUCUAUCUAUAUGUAUCUACUUCUAUUUUUAUCAUCAUCAAAGUCACUCUUUGACAUUUUCUCCUCAACAUCAUGCACAUAUCUAUUCACAUGGAUGUUGUGCCUCUCCCUCACAUUGUUCACUUGUAUUUGGCAAGAAUGGAGCCGGCCAAUUAUGUUGGCAUGGCAAAAAUUUCGGCCAGCCCCUUCCUCUUCUUUUCCUUCCUCCACAAGCUUUGCCUCCCAACUACCCCAAUCACUAAAUGGGCAGCCACCCACCUUGGCCAAUCAAGUGAAGAGCUGCCACCACUCCCUCCCUCUAUAAAACCUCAUAGCCGGCCACCCCCUCCUCUCUUUGCUCUCAUUUUUCACUCCCCACUCCUUCCUCCACUCCCUCACACUCCUCUCAUACCUCUUACCCACGAGCUGCUGCUCCUCCCAAGCUCCAUGGCCGGCCAUGGCCAUGGAAAUCCACCUAGAUGAAGCUCCCCUCCUCCCUCAAGCUUCCCCUCACCAUGAGAGCCUCCCUCUCCUUCUUCUCCCCAACCCUAGAUGGUUUUCUCUCCUCUUCUUCUUCCUCCCUUGCUAAGAUUGGAUCUUGAUGCAGGUGCAUGUUGGUCCAAGCAUGGAGAAGCUUGAGCUAUCCUCAGAUCUGAAGUUCUUGAGCAAAAUCCAAAUCGAGUGAUUCAAAGUUCCGCAGAUAGGUAUUGAAAAGAUCUACAACUUGGCGUUGGUCUCAUACUCAAAUUCGUUACGGAUUUUGCAAGAUCAAUAUCUGGUCAGAUCUGACUUUGUCGAAUUAAACCAGGAGCUUGGAAACGAAUUUUUGAAUGAAACCAAUUGGGAUGUUAUCUACCAGGGGAUAUUUCGUUUAUACCAUGGUGAUACCCGAGAAAGGCAAUUGCUAAGUUGUGAUACUCUCAUACCUUUACUAGAUGCGAACGAUUCCGGAGAAGAAGAAGAAGUGGUUCGGACAAGGAUUUUAUUUAUAUUGACGGGAUUCUUAUAUUGAUGAAGUUGAAGAAGUCCAGGGACAAAUAAGCCAAGGCAAGCCAUCUCUUGAUCUCUGAAUAUUGAAUCACAUAUUGUGGUUACUUUGUUAUUAUUAUUGUCUCUCGAUCUAUCUUGUGUGAUUUCUACUUUUGUUGUCGGAGCAUGCUUACCGUGAGCAUGUUUACUCUCUUUGGCACCUCGCCGACAAACCCCUUUUUGUGAAUGGUGGUUGUCAACAUCAUGAUCAUGGUGUACCCUCUAAAUGUGAUGGGUAUGCCCACUUACCUUGAGUGUGUCGACCUCUCGACACCCUUUUUGCACCCCUUAGUGGUAUGAUGGUUAGUAUCAUGCCCUUGUUAUACCUUCUACCUUGUGAUGCUAUGCAUACUUACUCCCAAGUGUGCCGAACCUCUUGUUGAUGCUAUACAUACUUACUCCCAAGUAUGUUGAACCCCUUGUUGUUGUUAUGCAUGCUUACCCCGAGCAUGUAUGCCCCCUUGACCACCUAUUUUACCAUCUUCUUAGUGGUAUGAUGAUCAACAUCAUGACCCUUUGUUGAAUCCUCCUACUUAUGUUGUCCCCAUGCGUGCUUAUCCUAAGCAUGUAUGAUCCCCUUGACACCUCAAUUAUCAUCUCCUUAGAGGUAUGACGUCUAGCAUCAUGCCAUUGUUAUAUCUUAGCUCCUACAUAAAACUUUAGGUUGGGAACCCCUCAAGGUUUACCUUGUUGUAAAUGUUUAUGAAAACCUUGGGUAAGAUAACCUUACCCAAGUGUAUGGUUUAUGAAGGCAAAAAGGAUCUUGUCAAAGAUGUUUGAGAAA